AUUGAACGCUGGCGGAAUGCUUUACACAUGCAAGUCGAGCGGCAGCGCGGGGCAACCUGGUGGCGAGCGGCGAACGGGUGAGUAAUGCAUCGGAACAUGUCCAUGUCGUGGGGGAUAGCCCGGCGAAAGCCGGAUUAAUACCGCAUACGCCCGAGAGGGGAAAGCAGGGGACCGCAAGGCCUUGCGCGAUUGGGUUGGCCGAUGUCCGAUUAGCUUGUUGGUGAGGUAAAGGCUUACCAAGGCGAUGAUCGGUAGCUGGUCUGAGAGGAUGAUCAGCCACACUGGGACUGAGACACGGCCCAGACUCCUGCGGGAGGCAGCAGUGGGGAAUUUUGGACAAUGGGGGCAACCCUGAUCCAGCCAUUCCGCGUGAGUGAAGAAGGCC
rnacentral:rRNA from 1 species